AGAUAGAUAAAUUGCAUUCUCUUGAAGC
rnacentral:piRNA from 1 species